rnacentral:rRNA from 1 species
GAUGAACGCUGGCGGCGUGCCUAAUACAUGCAAGUCGAGCGAACAGACGAGGAGCUUGCUCCUCUGACGUUAGCGGCGGACGGGUGAGUAACACGUGGAUAACCUACCUAUAAGACUGGGAUAACUUCGGGAAACCGGAGCUAAUACCGGAUAAUAUAUUGAACCGCAUGGUUCAAUAGUGAAAGACGGUUUUGCUGUCACUUAUAGAUGGAUCCGCGCCGCAUUAGCUAGUUGGUAAGGUAACGGCUUACCAAGGCAACGAUGCGUAGCCGACCUGAGAGGGUGAUCGGCCACACUGGAACUGAGACACGGUCCAGACUCCUACGGGAGGCAGCAGUAGGGAAUCUUCCGCAAAGGGCGAAAGCUUGACGGAGCAACGCCGCGUGUGUGAUGAAGGUCUUCGGAUCGUAAAACUCUGUUAUUAGGGAAGAACAAAUGUGUAAGUAACUAUGCACGUCUUGACGGUACCUAAUCAGAAAGCCACGGCUAACUACGUG